UACGUAGGGUGCAAGCGUUGUCCGGAAUUAUUGGGCGUAAAGAGCUCGUAGGCGGUUUGUCGCGUCGAAUGUGAAAACCCGGGGCUCAACCCCGGGCCUGCAUUCGAUACGGGCAGACUAGAGUCCGGUAGGGGAGCAGGGAAUUCCUGGUGUAGCGGUGAAAUGCGCAGAUAUCAGGAGGAACACCGGUGGCGAAGGCGCUGCUCUGGGCCGGUACUGACGCUGAGGAGCGAAAGCGUGGGUAGCAAACAGG
rnacentral:rRNA from 1 species